AUGGCUCCUCACACACUGCGAGCUGUCCGAGUGCGUGUCUCUGUGUGUGAUGAUAAACAUCCAGUGGUCCUAAACAGCUCCGGCUCUGCAAAUGGUGAACAAACAAAGAGGCUAGGACAGAACCACGCCACAGUGUUACAGCCAAUCAGCAACAGGGGGCAUACGUGCUCGGACCAGAGAUGUCACUUGUUCGUACAAAGUACAAAGAGUUUUAUAUCCACAAAGACCUAUAAAACAAGUUUGCUAGAACAUUGGAUUUAUUUAGUUGGAUGCAUAAUUUAGAUGAUAGGUAAUGAUACCCUCCGUCUCCUUUAGCCACACUGCAAAAACAGCCCAACUAGAAAUAAGUCCAAUAUUCUCAAAUUUAAUCAAAUUGUCCUGUUUGAAACAGAAACAUCUGCAAAUGGGGCAAGCCAAAUUUGCUUGACUAUGUAUAUAUUUUUUAACUAACAUAACAUUUUAGCUACUGAGAGACAUUAGAGGGCCUUAAGGGGGCAGUAAGCAAUUCUAAGGCUAGACACGUUUUGUAAAAAUCUGCACAUAUUUCCUCACGGUCGGCUAGCUGUCGGUUUUGUGUGCGCCAAAAAGAAUCUGGCUCAGCCCUGGCUCUGUAAAUCGGAAACAACAAAAUGAUGCAGAUCUCCCCUCAGAACACUGCAUGUGCAGUUUGUAAACAUCACUCGUCGACAGAUUAAGAGACGCGCUAGCGGUCAGCGCUGCAUCUCCACAGUUUUGGCCUAGUUGUUUGCGUGUCGGUCUUCCAUACCCGAGGUCGAAGGUUAGCGGCCCGGCCGGAGCAGUAAAAUCACAACAACAACAACAUAGAGAGAGACAAGCUCUCUCCAAAAUCGCUUACUGCCCCUUUACAUCUAGACAAAAAAGCCCACAUAUAAGCAAGUUGUGCUUAUUAAAAGCAAUAACAACCCAACAAUAAUAUUUAAACAUCCUGUUGAAGGAGAUUAUCUUUUCCAGUCUCCUUGAACAUUUCUUUGUUUUACAGUGUAAAUUGAUUUACACAUGAGGAACAUCUAUAUAAAGUUGAGCCAGACAUUAAUGUCCGACCUUCCCUCACUUUAUUCCCUUGGAAUACUCCUACUAUGACCUCAUUUAACAUGGCUCAGUUCCCAUGCAUUACCUCCUAGCCCUUACGCAACACCUGCCUCCACCACCAGCACACGUGAACCAAAAAAAGAGGCCGAAAUUAAAUGUGCCGUACUUAUGUCCUUCAGUGAACGCUCUCCCCAUGAGGCUCAAUAUUUGGAGGAUAAAAAAGUGAAAAUGGAUUAAUUACCGCGGCCACUUUCCACUCGCGGCCCAGGGGACUCACCGUAGGACUGAAAGAUCCACCUCCUCUCCCACUGCUCCUUCCAUCUGCCAUGUCACACCUCCGGUUCACAGCCAGUACACGGCAGCUCCUCCAGCCCACAGGGCACAAGGACAAAUUAGAAAUACCUGGCUUGACACAGGAUGCGAGGGAACUCUGGAAACAAAACAAAGGGAGCGAAGCAUAUUGAUGGACAUUCAAGUGUUCUCGCACUGAUGCCUCCACGGCGUCCCACAUUGGCACUGACCUGGAUUGCGAGAGGAGCACCUGGCAAUGUGACCAAUGCCGUAAGAAUUCAGCACAUCAUGGCCUCGUCAUGCUCUACAGCCACACGAAAGCCUCAAAGGAACCCAAUCACCACUUUGUAAACGAUGACGUUUUACAGUACUACAGCUAAAGGGACAUUACGUAACCUGUGACUCGACUGGCUGCCAACCCUCCUUGUUUGUGUGGCCCAAGGCUUUGUUGCGUGAAAUAAAAAAGCAGAGAUUAUUGUGGGAUUAUGCAACAUGUAAGCACAAAUAUGACAAUCAUUUUAUGAUUAAAAACCCUAAUUAAGUGGCAUUAUAUUUGUUACAAAACGUUUUGCUGCAGCAAAAUAUUUGUAUAUAAACGUAAUUUCUAGGAGAAAGGGUUAAUGUGACUCUAUUUUCAUACAUUAAACUCUUUUUUGCCUUUCACGUAUAACAAACGUAGCAGGAGAUUUUUACCACCAAAAAUAGUAAUAUAGUGAAAAUAAUAAUAUGAUUUGUAUUCCCUUUUAGCGCUGCAUUGUCCCAGGGACUGCUUACUUUCAUGCAUGAAAAAAUAAAAGGUCAUGAUGUAAAUUCUGAAAGUCAAACACCUUCUUAUUUUGAUCAUUUGUGAGAUGAUAACAUUUCUACAAAUGCACAACAGUAUAUAUCCAAACCUACUGUAUGUGCGUGAGAAAUCUCGAAUAACAGAUUCUUUUGUCUCUGACGCCAAAGCGGCGAGAAGAGAAUGACUUGUACCAGAUCAACAUGUACUCUGGUGUGAUUGGUGUUUUACCAACUGCAAAUGUAAAAAUAAAUAAAUAAAAAGUCUCCAA